UUGCACAUGAUGUACGACCUGCA
rnacentral:miRNA from 2 species